rnacentral:rRNA from 1 species
UUUUUAUAGACCCGAACCCGGAUGAUCUAACCAUGGCCAGGUUGAAACUUAGGUAAUACUAAUUGGAGGACCGAACCGACUGAUGUUGAAAAAUCAGCGGAUGAGUUGUGGUUAGGGGUGAAAUGCCAAUCGAAUCCGGAGCUAGCUGGUUCUCCCCGAAAUGUGUUUAGGCGCAGCGGUUAAUUUUGUAUUUUAGGGGUAAAGCACUGUUUCGAUGCGGGCUGGUAAUUCGGUACCAAAUCGAGGCAAACUAAGAAUACUAAAAUAUCUUUUAACCAGUAAGACUGUGGGGGAUAAGCUCCAUUGUCAAGAGGGAAACAGCCCAGACCACCAGCUAAGGCCCCUAAAUAAUUACUAAGUGAUAAAGGAAGUAAAAGUGCUUAGACAACCAGGAGGUUUGCUUAGAAGCAGCAAUCCUUUAAAGAAUGCGUAAUAGCUCACUGGUCGAGUAAAUUUGCGCCGAAAAUGUAUGGGGCUAAGUAAUUUGCCGAAGCUGUGGGAUAUCUAUAUUAUAAAUAUCGGUAGGGGAGCGUUCUGUUAUAGGUUGAAGCAUUAGCGAAAGUGGAUGUGGACGAAACAGAAGUGAGAAUGUCGGCUUGAGUAGCGAAAACAUUGGUGAGAAUCCAAUGCCCCGAAAGCCUAAGGUUUCCUUCGGAAGGCUCGUCCGCGGAGGGUAAGUCAGGACCUAAGGCGAGGCUGAGAAGCGUAGUUGAUGGACAACAGGUUAAUAUUCCUGUACUAUUAAUAAUCAAGUAAGGGCAAGGAGCGACGGAGCAGGCUAAGCUAGCCGGAUUCUGGUUACCGGUUUAAACGUUCAAAGUGUUGAUAAAUAGCGAAAAUAUUUUGAGCUGAGACGUGAAUACGUUAUGCUACGGCAUUUAAGUAGUUGAUGUCAUACUUCCAAGAAAAGCUUCCACUGUCGAAUUAUUAAUACCUGUACUGUAAACCGACACAGGUGGGUAAGUAGAGAAUACUAAGGGGCGCGAGAUAACUCUCUCUAAGGAACUCGGCAAAAUAGCCCCGUAACUUUGGGAGAAGGGGUACCUUGAGAAAGGUUGCAAUAAUCAGGUCCAAGCGACUGUUUACCAAAAACACAGGUCUCCGCUAAGUCGUAAGACGAUGUAUGGGGGCUGACGCCUGCCCAGUGCCGGAAGGUUAAAGAAGUCGGUUUUGCUGAUGACUGAAGCCCCGGUGAACGGCGGCCGUAACUAUAACGGUCCUAAGGUAGCGAAAUUCCUUGUCGGGUAAG